UUUGGUGUAUUCUCUUCGGGUUCCUGUGCUGCCUACCUUUGGAAUGGUACUUAACUGGCAUGAAAUAUUUGUUCCAUCCAGAUCUCUUUACGGGGAUGAUGGUGGAUUUUAAUGCAACGCCUGUGUUCCACAUUAGUUUUUCAUCGUGAUGCUUUUGUGGUAUGCAUGUAGCUGUUGUUCUUUCGGAUGCGGUGCAUGCAACGAUCGUGGGUUUAAUUGUCCCGUUCGGUUUCUAAAUUUCUGGUUGCCUUAGAAUGACAUCUGCCCUGGUGCGUGUGAUGUUUUCCUUUUAGGGGGACAACACC
rnacentral:misc_RNA from 1 species